rnacentral:rRNA from 1 species
UACGGAGGAUCCAAGCGUUAUCCGGAUUUAUUGGGUUUAAAGGGUGCGUAGGCGGAUUGAUAAGUUAGAGGUGAAAUGUCCGAGCUUAACUCGGGAACUGCCUCUAAUACUGUUGAUCUAGGGAGUAGAUGCGGUAGGCGGAAUGUAUGGUGUAGCAGUGAAAUGCUUAGAGAUCAUACAGAACACCGAUUGCGAAGGCAGCUUACCAAUCUAUAUCUGACGUUGAGGCACGAAAGCGUGGGGAGCAAACAGG